rnacentral:lncRNA from 1 species
CUCCCUGGGCAGGUGCCCACUGGUGUCCCAUGGAAUCCACUCGGGUUGAAAUGUGGAUCUCUCCAUGGGACUCUUUAACCAGGCUAGAACAGCUGUCUGCCAAAGAUACAAGAAUAUGCAAAGUCCCUCCUCCUAACCCUCCUUCCCUCUAAGUCGGUGGCUUGAGAGCCGGGGAUGUGGAUUUGGUGUGGUUACAGGGUCCCCUGCCUGCCUCCAGCCUCCGUGUGCUCCAGGGUUGUGAGCAGAGCAGGAAGGUCAGGUGAGAGUGGCUGUAGGAGGUCCUCCAGCCCGGGUGCGUGGGUGCACAGGUGCGUGGGUGUGUGGAACGGGUCUGCUCUGCCUGCUUCUGUCUCUGUCUGGGUGUUUGAGUUCCAAAAAGUGUGUGGUGUUUGUUCCUCCUCAUCCUCUUCUGAGACUGUUGAUUUUAAACACUUGAUUGUGAACGAAGAGCUUCUAUGAAAACCCUCACCUUUCCAUGUCCCAAAAACCAACACAAGUCCCUGGGGCGGGUGGAGAAGAUGGUGGAGCCCCGUGAGACGGGGCUUCUGUGUGACCCUUACUUCCUCUGCACACUGGGACCCUUGAGCCAAGGGCAGUCCCUACCAGGUGCCCAAGCCGCAAGUCUCAGGGGGCUUUUGUCUGAGGACCUUCUUGGGGCCAGUCUCUGAGGACGCUGCCACCCUAGAGCACAUGCAUGCCCAGCCAUUCUUCCUGCUUCUGGCCUCGGAGCUGCUUGUCUCCAGAUGCCCUCCUGAAACCAUGAGAAGCUUCAGCCUUGCCUCACUGGCUUCCCCAUCUGACCCCACCAGGUACCACACUGUCACCCAGUGUCCUUGAUCUCCUCUUGUUCCCCUUUCUGCUUGUAGCAGCCUCACUUGGCAAAUGUAACGGCUCAGGUACCCUGGCUUCCUUCCCAGAAACAAGCCUUGCCUGUGCAUCCUGGAGAGUUAGGUCCUUCAGAAGGCCAGAGCUGGGACAAGCCUUGACCCGUUCUGCAGCCCUUAGAGCCUUCACACGUGAGCACUAGGCCAUCUUAGCAGAACCCCCAUCUGGCAGCACAUGCCAAGUUUCAGGAGGAUUGGGGGGAGGCGGGUGCAGGCUUGAGAAGAAUCUGGGUGUGUGGGUAUGUGUGCACAUGUGCAUGUGGGUGUGUGUGUGCACAUGUGCAUGUGGGUGUGUGUAAGUAUGUGUGCACAUGGGAGUGUGGGUGUGUGUGUGUGCACAUGUGUGGGUGUGUGUGCACAUGUUUGGAUGUGUGCACAUGUGCAUGCCUGUUUCUUUUUGCCAGGGAGACAACUGAAUUUGGGGCAUUUUUCUACAAACACAGCCUCCUCUCCCCCUGUAUGGACUGGCUAUAACCAUAAGCCAGGCGCUUUCACCAAGAUGGCUGGUGGCCAAGGUGGGCAGUAGGCAUGAGCUUCCAGCAGGAAAGGACAAGAGAGUAGGCAGGCUUACAGGUGCAGACUGAGUGCUUCUCCGCCUGCCCUCUUCCCCUUGUUUCCUUGGGUGAGUGUGGGGGGCAGCCUGCUGUCCCUCCCACCUGCACAGUGAUGCUGUCUGGUGGGGCCUCGUGGUGCCUAGGAGAUGAAGAUGAGGUUUUCCUUACCGUGUAAAUGAAUAUUUGUAUGAUUAAAUUAACACACACAAAAAAAAAAACCCCGCCUU